rnacentral:rRNA from 1 species
UACGAAGGGGGCUAGCGUUGUUCGGAAUUACUGGGCGUAAAGCGCACGUAGGCGGACAUUUAAGUCAGGGGUGAAAUCCCGGGGCUCAACCUCGGAACUGCCUUUGAUACUGGGUGUCUAGAGUAUGGAAGAGGUAAGUGGAAUUGCGAGUGUAGAGGUGAAAUUCGUAGAUAUUCGCAGGAACACCAGUGGCGAAGGCGGCUUACUGGUCCAUUACUGACGCUGAGGUGCGAAAGCGUGGGGAGCAAACAGG